rnacentral:rRNA from 1 species
GACGAACGCUGGCGGCGUGCUUAACACAUGCAAGUCGAACGGAAAGGCCCUGCUUGCAGGGUACUCGAGUGGCGAACGGGUGAGUAACACGUGGGUGAUCUGCCCUGCACUUCGGGAUAAGCCGGGGAAACUGGGUCUAAUACCGGAUAGGAGCCAUUUUUAGUGUGAUGGUUGGAAAGUUUUUUCGGUGUAGGAUGAGCUCGCGGCCUAUCAGCUUGUUGGUGGGGUAAUGGCCUACCAAGGCGGCGACGGGUAGCCGGCCUGAGAGGGUGGACGGCGACAGUGGGACUGAGAUACGGCCCAGACUCCUACGGGAGGCAGCAGUGGGGAAGAUUGCACAAUGGGCGCAAGCCUGAUGCAGCGACGCCGCGGGGGGGAUGACGGCCUUCGGGUUGUAAACUCCUUUCGCUAGGGACGAAGCUUUUUGUGACGGUACCUAGAUAAGAAGCACCGGCUAACUACGUG